AGCUUGUGUAACUGAUGUACAACAAGACCAAGUAAUUGGAACUCAAAAUAGUAUAGUUACACAGAGCUUCAUGAAUUCACAGUCAAUAUGUUCAAUUGAAAGAGAGGUAGAUGCAAAAAAAGAGGAACAACAGGAAAAUGAAAAAUAAUCCAGCCGAGGGUCUUAAUCUUUUGGUGGAAGCAAUGGAGCAAGCGUUAUGGAAUGGCUAGGGAUGAAGGAAUUUGUGGACAUAACCUAGU